rnacentral:lncRNA from 1 species
GGGUGAUCAGUAGUUCAGAGGGCAGGGUGAUCAGUAGUUCAGAGGGCAGGGUGAUCAGUAGCCAGGGUGAUCAGUGGCCACGGGUGAUCAGUCAGUUAGAGUUCGGGUGUAUCAGUGUCGCAGGGCAGGUGAUCUAGUAGUUUGUGGCCAGGGUGAUCAAUUAGUUCUGUGGCCAGGGUGAUCAAUAGUUAUGUGGCCAGGGUGAUCAGUAGUUAUGUGGCCAGGGUGAUCAGUAGUUAUGUGGCCAGGGUGAUCGGUAGUUAUGUGGCCAGGGUGAUUGGUAGUUCAGAGGUCAGGGUGAUUGGUAGUUCAGAGGUCAGGGUGAUUGGUAGUUCAGAGGUCAGGGUGAUUGGUAGUUCAGAGGUCAGGGUGAUUGGUAGUUCAGGGGUCAGGGUGAUCGGUAGUUCGGAGUUCAGGGUGAUCGGUAGUUCAGAGGUCAGGAUGGUAGGUAGUUCUGAGGUCAGGGUGAUCAAUAGUUCGGCGGCCAGGGUGAUUGGUUGUUCGGCGGUCAGGGUGAUCAGUCGUUCUGAGGUCAGGAUGAUCAGUAGUUCU